rnacentral:lncRNA from 1 species
CAGACAUCCCGCAGCGGGCAGGGAAAUGGUGGCGUGGGGGAGCCCGUGAAGGGUUUCCAAACAGCCACGAGAGACUCGGCAGAAUCGAUGGCUGUCAGCAGCUGGCAAGAGUUGCCUCAUUUCUACCCCUGGUGCUGGAAAGGUAAAGGCAGCAGAGGCAGGAGCAGUUAUCUUUCACGGUGGUGUGCUCGUGCUUCCUCUGUGUAACUCCUCAGCCACAGACCUGCUAGUCCUGCCUUUCUGGGGAAAUGGGCAAUUUUCCUGCACAAUGGUGAUCACGUUUUCAGAUCCUCUGUAUCAGCAGGAGGAAGCGCAGACUGCCUGGUUUCUCUCACUGCAAUAACAGGAGAGGAGAAGGCUGCGAGAGAGGAAGCCCACGUAAGCCUACGCCGAGGUCGCUGGGGAGCAGGCUGUGCAUGCGGGCCCUCUGUCCUGGGACCAAAGAACAAGCGAGUAAACGAAGGGCGGCAAGUGUUUCGGUGCCCGCGGGCGGCUGGGCACCCGCCGUGCCUGGGACCCUCCUGCUCUCCUCCCCUCGCCCCAUCCCUGCCCCGCAGUGCCUGCCCGCCUGGCACGUCCGUUUGCACCAUUGCAGCGGGGAACCGCAGCAGGGAACGGAUUCAGACAAAAAAUCAUCUCCAAGAAGUAAAAUAAAAGGCUGUUUUUCUUCCAGGUGA